rnacentral:sRNA from 1 species
GGGAUCAUUACACAAAUAUGAAGGCGGGCUGGAACCUCUCGGGGUUACAGCCUUGCUGAAUUAUUCACCCUUGUCUUUUGCGUACUUCUUGUUUCCUUGGUGGGUUCGCCCACCACUAGGACAAACAUAAACCUUUUGUAAUUGCAAUCAGCGUCAGUAACAAAUUAAUAAUUACAACUUUCAACAACGGAUCUCUUGGUUCUGGCAUCGAUGAAGAACGCAGCGAAAUGCGAUAAGUAGUGUGAAUUGCAGAAUUCAGUGAAUCAUCGAAUCUUUGAACGCACAUUGCGCCCUUUGGUAUUCCAAAGGGCAUGCCUGUUCGAGCGUCAUUUGUACCCUCAAGCUUUGCUUGGUGUUGGGCGUCUUGUCUCUAGCUUUGCUGGAGACUCGCCUUAAAGUAAUUGGCAGCCGGCCUACUGGUUUCGGAGCGCAGCACAAGUCGCACUCUCUAUCAGCAAAGGUCUAGCAUCCAUUAAGCCUUUUUUUCAACUUUUGACCUCGGAUCAGGUAGGGAUACCCGCUGAACUUAAGCAUAUCAAUAAGCGGAGGA